AGCGCGCAAGAUGGAGGUAGCAGAGAUGAGGAUGCUGAGGUGGAUGUGUGGACACACGAGGUUGGAUCGAUAAGAAAUGAGGUUUUUAGGGAGAGAUUAGGAGUGGCUAGUAUUUCAGAUAAGAUUAAGGAGGGGAGAUUGAGAUGGUUUGGGCAUGUGAAGCGGAGGCAAACGACAGCACCAGUUAGAGUAGUGGAAACUCUUACUGUGGAAGGGAGGAGAGGAAGAGGCUGACCCAAACUGACAUGGGAAGAGCAAAUUAGGCAUGAUUUACUAGAGUCGCAUCUUUCUGAGGACAUGGUCCAAGAUAGGAUUUCGUGGAGGCGUGGGAUUAGGUGA
rnacentral:lncRNA from 1 species